UCCAAAAAUACUUGUCAUCAAAAUGGAUAAAAAUAGAUGUAUCUAAAACUAAAAUACGUCUAGAUACAUUUCCUUUUAUCCAUUUUGAUGACAAGUAUUUCCGGA
rnacentral:pre_miRNA from 1 species